CGUAGGGGGCUAGCGUUGUCCGGAUUCAUUGGGCGUAAAGCGCGUGUAGGCGGCCAGAUAGGUCUGCUGUGAAAACUCGAGGCUCAACCUCGAGCUGUCGGCGGAAACCAUCUGGCUAGAGUCCGGAAGAGGAAAGUGGAAUUCCCGGUGUAGCGGUGAAAUGCGCAGAUAUCGGGAAGAACACCCGUGGCGAAGGCGGCUUUCUGGGACGGUACUGACGCUGAGACGCGAAAGCGUGGGGAGCAAACAGGAUUAGAUACCCUGGUAGUCCACGCCGUAAACGAUGGGUGCUAGGUGUGGGGAGUGUCGACUCUCUCCGUGCCGAAGCUAACGCAUUAAGCACCCCGCCUGGGGAGUACGGCCGCAAGGCUA
rnacentral:rRNA from 1 species